rnacentral:rRNA from 1 species
GAAUUCAACUCCUACGGGAGGCAGCAGUGGGGAAUAUUGCACAAUGGGCGGAAGCCUGAUGCAGCGACGCCGCGUGGGGGAUGACGGCCUUCCGGUUGUAAACUCCUUUCACCAUCGACGAAGGGUUUCUGACGGUAGAUGGAGAAGAAGCACCGGCUAACUACGUGCCAGCAGCCGCGGUAAUACGUAGGGUGCGAGCGUUGUCCGGAAUUACUGGGCGUAAAGAGCUCGUAGGUGGUUUGUCGCGUCGUCUGUGAAAUUCCGGGGCUUAACCCUGGACGUGCAGGCGAUACGGGCUGACUUGAGUACUACAGGGGAGACUGGAAUUUCUGGUGUAGCGGUGGAAUGCACAGAUAUCAGGAAGAACACCGAUGGCGAAGGCAGGUCUCUGGGUAGUAACUGACGCUGAGGAGCGAAAGCAUGGGUAGCGAACAGGAUUAGAUACCCCGGUAGUCCAGGCGUU